rnacentral:rRNA from 1 species
CCUACGGGAGGCAGCAGUGAGGAAUAUUGGUCAAUGGGCGCGAGCCUGAACCAGCCAAGUAGCGUGAGGGAUGAAGGUUCUAUGGAUCGUAAACCUCUUUUAUAAGGGAAUAAAGUGUGGGACGUGUCCUAUUUUGUAUGUACCUUAUGAAUAAGGAUCGGCUAACUCCGUGACAGCAGCCGCGGUAAUACGGAGAGACCGCGCGUUAUCCGGAUUUAUUGGGUUUAAAGGGUGCGUAGGGGGCCUUUUAAGUCAGCGGUGAACGUCUGUGGCGCAACCAUAGAAUUGCCGUUGAAACUGGGAGGCUUGAGUAUGUUUGAGGCAGGCGGAAUGCGUGGUGUAGCGGUGAAAUGCUUAGAUAUCACGCAGAACCCCGAUGGCGAAGGCAGCAUGCCAAGCCAUGACUGACGCUGAUGCACGAAAGCGUGGGGAUCAAACAGGAUUAGAUACCCCUGUAGUC